rnacentral:rRNA from 1 species
CCUACGUGGGGCAGCAGUGGGGAAUAUUGCACAAUGGGGGAAACCCUGAUGCAGCGACGCCGCGUGAGCGAUGAAGUAUUUCGGUAUGUAAAGCUCUAUCAGCAGGGAAGAUAAUGACGGUACCUGACUAAGAAGCCCCGGCUAACUACGUGCCAGCAGCCGCGGUAAUACGUAGGGGGCAAGCGUUAUCCGGAUUUACUGGGGGUAAAGGGAGCGUAGACGGUACUGCAAGCCAGAUGUGAAAGCCCGGGGCUCAACCCCGGUACUGCAUUUGCGACUGUAAGGCUAGAGUGUCGGAGAGGCAGGCGGAAUUCCUAGGGUAGCGGUGAAAUGCGUAGAGAUUAGGUGGAACACCAGUGGCGAAGGCGGACGGCUGGACGAUGACUGACGUUGAGGCUCGAAAGCGUGGAGAGCAAACAGGAUUAGAUACCCAAGUAGUC